rnacentral:rRNA from 1 species
UACGGGGGGGCAAGCGUUGUUCGGAAUUACUGGGCGUAAAGGGCUCGUAGGCGGCCAACUAAGUCAGACGUGAAAUCCCCAGGCUUAACCUGGGAACUGCGUCUGAUACUGGAUGGCUUGAAUCCGGGAGAGGGAUGCAGAAUUCCAGGUGUAGCGGUGAAAUGCGUAGAUAUCUGGAGGAAUACCGGUGGCGAAGGCGGCAUCCUGGACCGGCAUUGACGCUGAGGAGCGAAAGCCAGGGGAGCAAACGGG